AUGUGAUGACCCACUAUCGCCAGAUUAUGUGCCUUCCAUAUUCCAAUAUGUGUCAUCACCAGUUAAGAGGAAACGGGCGCAGGCGAUGGAAGGUUAUGCACGCAGAAUGGUAGCAAAGAAAAACAAAUGUGAAGGACACCUUCUCCGUGGCAUCCACAUGCUAUCAAACCAUCUGGACUGGCACCAAUGAAUGGGUGAGUCGUGCUGAUGUGCAACCCAGUCUCUGUGACGGUGAAGUCUUCGUGGUUACCAGCAUAAAGCUGACUGUAGACCUGCCGAGCAACUGAUUCAUUCUCUUUUCCCCACCUGUGGAAAGCAAAUUAAAUCAUUCUUAAUUAAUAAUGUGUUCUUUGCUAUGUAUAACUGUGAACCAAUCAUAAUGUACAUAAGUAACCUUAAUAAAUAAGUUUCCACAA